CCUGAUGGUCAGAGCCCAAGGCAUCUUUCCCCUGGUGAUACAUUAAUCCAAUUUUUGCCAUUCUCUAAGGACCUUCAUUCUGCCCAGGUCUGAAGUGCUAAGCCAAUGUAGAGUGCUCAGGUACCUGGAGGGAAAUUUGUUCCUUUCUAUGUACUGAUCAGUGGUCCUUGACUGUUAAAAGAGUCCCACCCACAGCAGCUUUCUUACCUGUGGAAAAGGCUUGGGAUUUCACAUGGAGACCUGUUCCUGAGGACCAUCUGUCUUUCUGCCUUCUGAGAGGUUUUCAGAGAUGGCUAGUCUGUAUCCACUUGAUUGGACCACUGGGCCAGCGAUUUGAUCACACAGAAAUACAGGACUACUCAUAGGAUGCCUUUGACCAAGAAACAGGUGACAGGUCAUUCCCCCAGUGAUAGAGGAACAUAUGAGAUGUCCCUUGGAUCUCCUACAAUGAUAGAAGAAGAUAUGAGAUGUCCCUUUGCUCCCCUGCAGCAAAGAUCCAAAGCUAUGGAUUCAGGGCUGUUCUUACCCAGAAAUGGGCUCCUGAGCUUGACUGGAUGAAGUAAAUGGUCCUAAGGGAGGCAGCAGUUCCUUUUGGAUGAUCGGUAGUGUGGACUUCAAAUCACUGAUGAGGUAUUUUAUAAAUACUCCAUACACAAGAAGGAAUAACUGCUGAAGGUUUUGGAGCUUCCACUGGGUCUCCACAGAGAAGGCAUUUUCUGGUUGGUUCCUGAAAGCCCUAUGUUUUAUAGGUGUAAAUAUCAUCUGCCCCAGGUCCUGCCCAUCCAGUCCUCUACAGCUCCCUUUCUUCCUCGCAGUCAGAGCCUGUGGCUGUUUGCAACUCUUUCUUGGUCAGUGUUCACUGCAGAAUUCUGGUGCUGGCCUUCAAAGCAAAGAUAUAUUCUUCUGCAAAGGAGCUGUCUACAGUGUGGAACCCAAACCAGGCCCCAGCAGUCACAGGGAACAAACCGCACAAAUCGCUUCUAUGAGAGCCUGGAGCUCAAAACUGUAGCUCUAUGCCAUGGAAACAGUCCUUGCCUCAACCACGCUGUUGUAGGUGUUUCUUUGACAAUGUGUCCUUACAAGUUUAACAUAUGAUUUCUAGACAAAUCCCAUGAGAACUGGUGAUUUAUCCCCUUCCUAAUACACACGUGCCUGUGAAAUAAUAAACAUAGGAUCUGGGAGA